AGAGAGUAGACAGAGGCAGGCUGUCUUCAUGAACAUUCUCCAUACUUUUCCAGAUUCAUAGAAGCUACCAGAGCUUAUACUCCAUUGACAUAACUUCAAAAUCCCUGGAAUGCAUGACCAUUGCCAUACUCCUCUGAGCUACUUGAAGAGAACUUCAGAAAAGAGGUGAAUGUUUCUCCAAAGGAAAAAGAAAUCAAUCAAGAGUUGGAGAAAAUGUCAGCCUAGAAAAUCAUCCCACCGAUUUCAAGCUACCAGUCUUGUCCAAAGUACUCUGCUAUUGAUCUUCAACUCAGCAUUAAUGAAAGACCUCCCUUACAUGUGUCAGAUCAGAUUAAAGAGAUACUAGUUUGUGGAAGCAUCCAGAAAGCAGAAACACUGAACACUAAGGACACUUGAGCGGCUAUUCCUCCGCCUUACUUGCUCUAAUACUACAUGACGGUUUUUCUUAUCUGCCUUGGUUAAUUCAUUUUAUAGUACUAUCUGGGAAC
rnacentral:lncRNA from 1 species